rnacentral:lncRNA from 1 species
UCGAUGCCCAGGUUGAUGCUGACGUUUCUUGGAUUUGAGGCACUUUAUGGUUACACGCCUAUAUUGACCCAAACACCACCUGUAUCACUAUUUUACCAGGAUGGCUCAUUGUCGUAACCACUGGAGCGAGAGUGCAGAUACAUGAUAGUAGGCGAGAACGAUGCAGCAAUCGACCACGGAGGAAGAUGAUGAUGCUGUCAUACCCAAAGAAAUGAUUUCCCAGGGAACAAUGCUAGGUACAUAUUUAAGCGACGAUGAUGAUGAGAAGAAAGUCUACAGGCCCCCACCUCCUGAUGCACCUCCGAUUGAACACCAGGUUGUACGCCUGGUUAAAC